CAGUGGCCCGCGCUACCAUGCAGUCGACGGUGAACUUUGGAGCUUGCUCUAAGGGGAUCAGUGGCGAACGGGUGAGUAACACGUGAGUAACCUGCCCCGGACUCUGGAAUAAGCGCUGGAAACGGCGUCUAAUACCGGAUACGAGACGCAACCGCAUGGUUAGUGUCUGGAAAGUUUUUCGGUCUGGGAUGGACUCGCGGCCUAUCAGCUUGUUGGUGAGGUAAUGGCUCACCAAGGCGACGACGGGUAGCCGGCCUGAGAGGGCGACCGGCCACACUGGGACUGAGACACGGCCCAGACUCCUACGGGAGGCAGCAGUGGGGAAUAUUGCACAAUGGGCGAAAGCCUGAUGCAGCGACGCCGCGUGAGGGAUGACGGCCUUCGGGUUGUAAACCUCUUUCAGCAGGGAAGAAGCGAAAGUGACGGUACCUGCAGAAGAAGCACCGGCUAACUACGUGCCAGCAGCCGCGGUAAUACGUAGGGUGCGAGCGUUGUCCGGAAUUAUUGGGCGUAAAGAGCUUGUAGGCGGUUUGUCGCGUCUGCUGUGAAAAUCCGGGGCUCAACCCCGGACUUGCAGUGGGUACGGGCAGACUAGAGUGUGGUAGGGGAGACUGGAAUUCCUGGUGUAGCGGUGAAAUGCGCAGAUAUCAGGAGGAACACCGAUGGCGAAGGCAGGUCUCUGGGCCACUACUGACGCUGAGAAGCGAAAGCAUGGGGAGCGAACAGGAUUAGAUACCCUGGUAGUCCAUGCCGUAAACGUUGGGCGCUAGGUGUGGGACUCAUUCCACGAGUUCCGUGCC
rnacentral:rRNA from 2 species